GACGUAGGGAGCGAGCGUUGUCCGGAUUCAUUGGGCGUAAAGAGCGCGCAGGCGGUUUGGUAAGUCGGAUGUGAAAUCCCGGGGCUCAACCCCGGACCUGCAUCCGAUACUGCCCGACUAGAGGUAGGUAGGGGAGAUCGGAAUUCCUGGUGUAGCGGUGAAAUGCGCAGAUAUCAGGAGGAACACCGGUGGCGAAGGCGGUUCUCUGGGCAUGACCUGACGCUGAGGAGCGAAAGUGUGGGGAGCGAACAGG
rnacentral:rRNA from 1 species